CAAUGUUAAUAUUAUUUAGUUUGGAACAUUUUAAUUUUAUAUUGUAAAUUUUAAACUAUGGAAACUGAUGGAUCAGAGUAUGUAGGUCAAUCGAAUAAUUGUAUUGAGGAAUCUCAAUCGGCAGUCAACAAUUUGAUUAUAGAUUACUACAAAAAAUUUGGGAGAAAGCGGGACUUAGAACAAUUUUUUUCUCUAUCUACAGCCCAAAGUGAUAUAAGAGAUCCCACGAGUUUGUUUUGGAGAAAGAUGAAGUCUCAAACUGAUUCUUCGGAUUCUGGAGAGAAAAAAAGUGAAUCGUCCGCAGAACUUUGUAGAAUAUCUAUACAAUGCUCUAUUCCCGAGCCUUCCACUUCACAGAAUAAUUAUAAAAUCCUCAAAAGUGAUUCAGAAUCUCCACCAAUUAUAAGAGAUGAAGCAGAGCCAGUAGGUUCCAGAAUCUCGGACAAUGAAUCAAUAAGAUCAGAAGAUAUGUAUUCUCAUAAAUCAGUUGAUGGCACAUUGGAUACUUCAACAAAUAAGCCACAUUCACCAACUAGCAGUAUUACAUCUCAACGAAAACUUGAAUGGGAUUCCUUAGCUGAUGUUGGUUACGGUAACACAAGUGAUAGAAAAAAUUCAGCAUCAAGUUUAAGCACAAUAGAAAGGAUGGCAUUGCAUCAACAAUACUCAAAUAAUGAUACGAAGCAAGACUCAGAUUUAGGAAUGCCCACAGCACAAUCAACACCUUUAGAUGUUAAUGACAAUAAAGCAAAAAACAAAAAGGGUUUCGCUAAGAAAACAACAAAAAUUUAUAAUAGAGAUAUUGAUUCAGUCAAUCUUAAUAUUUCUCAAAACUCUGAAAAUAAUCGGCAACCUAUAAAUGUCAAUUUAACAAAACAUAUUUCUUUCAAUGUUGAAAAAGAUGGAGGUGUUAGUAUAGAAAAUAUAUCGAAAAGUGUAUCUGUAAGUCCAGAAAAAGUUUCAGUCGAAACAGAAGUCACACCUCAACGUACAAUAGACAAAGAGAUACAAACAACUUUGAUUAAAAAUAAACAAAAAUCAAGCAGUUCUAGUGAUUUCAAAGAGCAACACGCUAAAGCAAUUCCUGUUCUUAUCAACUUGAAUACUUUAAAGAAAAAAACACGUAAAAAGAGGGUUAUGCGAAUAAAACGACAGCAAAGGAGAAAAAGUUUAGUCACUGAAAAAAAAAUUGCUCCACUUGAAAAAAGUACAGAACAGUUGUCGGAAGCAGAGAGUUUUGAAUAUAUGCCAGGUCAUAUUUACAAUCAAAAUCAAAUGAAUGAACUAAAUAAAAACAGUAAUGAUUAUGGUAAUAAAUCUAGCCUAGAAUCAAGCGCUGGACUCACAACCGACUCAAGUAAAACAAUAAAAUAUUCUUUUACAAAAGAUUUAGAAACAGGCAUUGAUAUACUCAAAAAGGCUCUAGAACAUAGACAUGAAGAUUCAAAAUUAAAAAAGAAACUAAUUAAAGAAGUAGUUCAGAGACUUAUCAAAACAAAAUAUAAGGAUGAUGAUAGUUCAACUGAAUUUCUAUCGGGCUUAAGUUUUGAUAGUAAAAAAAUAGAUAAACAUAAUCUUACCCAUACAACAUCUAGUACCUCAGAUGCAAAUAACACUGCCACUAAAACCAAAACAACAAAACCAAAUAAGUCUAUUUUACGUAUGGACAAAUUUAAUGCUAAUGCAAUAGCUUCCACCUCACAAAGUGUCCCCAAUUUACCCGUUCUUUCGAAGAUUGACACAGCUAUAACUACCAAAAAGGCAGCUGACUUGUCUAAUACAGAUUCAGACAUAUCAAGCAAAAAUAGAAAAAUAUUAGAUACGGGAAUUGAUAAAACUUCAUCAGAUAUAUUAUAUAAAAAGUAUUUAGAUGCAUUGAAGAGAGAAGAGAAUUACAAAAAACAUUUAAAGGAUAAGGAAAUAUUUCUUAAACAAAAACUUGUUGGUUCUGAUCUUGCAUUCAAUGUUGUGACGCAAGCUGAAAGAAGGAAAAAUAAUUUGAAAGACCUCAUGAAUGAUUUGGUACGGAACAACUAUGAUGAUGGAUCAGGCGAUGCCAGUAAAUUGGAAGGUGGAUCCAAUUCUAAUAUCAAUUAUCAAAAUUAUAAUUCUAUAAGAAAACAAAGAAGUCAUUCUGUUUUUACUCUGUCAUCUGGUAACUCUGAUAAUUACACAAAGAGAUCAAAUGAUAAUAAAAAACAACAGAAUAAAGUUGAUAGUGCCAAAGAUUGUUAUCAUAGAGCUGAGAGGCAUUAUUGUUGUUGUCCUUAUCACACAUCACACUCACGAAUCGGAGUUAUAGAUAGUGCAGUACAAGUAAAUAUAAAAAGUAAUGACGUCUGUCCUGAUACAAAAGCUACACAAAGUUCGCCACAAGCAUACAAAGAAGUGAGUGAACCUAAAAUAUGCCAACAUAAAUGCGAUAAAUGUAAUAGGCCUCAGUCUAAAACUCAAAUUGUAUCGGAUUGUGCAAAUGAAGAUAUCAAAUAUUUUUGUGUCUGCACUGGAGAUGAAGGAAUGCAGAAAGUACCUGAAAAUAUCUUAAUUUACAAAUGUUCAAGACUAACCAAUAAGUACUUAAACUUAGGUGAAAAUUUGACAUCAAAAGUAUCUAAUACUGCGAGUGAACAGUUCUCUAGUAAUUCUACCUCACCGCGUUUAAAAAUAUCGACAUUCAAUAGUGAAGAUUGUGAGAAAAAGUGUUUAAUUAUCAAAGACAAUAAUAGUUUAAAUAAUCAGACAUCAAAAUCAUCACAAACAAAUCUGAACUUACCGAUUAAACUUCAAAGCAAAUCUAGUGAACAAAGUCUUGAUUCGUCAUCAUCUGGAGAUAAAGUUAAUAUCAAGAAACUUGAUAAUGUAAAAACUAUGACAGAUCCUUUAAAUGAAAGAACAAGUAAAUUCAUACAUGAGGCUACUCGGUGUAUACAAACUGAAAUAAGUAUUGAUCCAAAAAUAUCUGAUCCUUCGUUAUCCGAUAUAAAUAUUAUUAAUGAUAAAAAUUGUGUUGAAUUAAUAAGUGAAAAAUACAAAGAAGUUUUACAGUCAGGUUCUAAAAGUAAUAUCAGAAAACAAACCGAAUUGAGAAGUGGUACUAGUUCUGCGGAGAGUAAUGCUAUAUGUGGAAAAGAUCCAUCGGAAUGUGUGUGUAUAAAUGUUAGAGAACAAUCUACGAAUACUCUUGAAAAAUACGAUAAAGAAAUUCAAUCGUCUGUUGAAAUUAACAAAAAUAUACCUGUUCCGAUAGGUAAACAGAGUUCUAACAAUUUCACUAUUCCAAUUCAAGGCACAAAUAUGACUCUUAAGGUAAGCUUAGGAUCUGGAAAGGAUGACAAUUCAUGUGCGCAAAGUUCAUUGCAAAACGAUUUUAAGACUAAUACAAAAUUUGUAUGUACGGGAACAGAGACAGAUAAAAAAAAUAUUGCUGAAAAUUAUACGUCAAUACGGGAAGAGUGUUCGAAAGGAGUGCAAUCAUUUAAUGCAAACAUAUUUGAUGAGUUUUAUCAACAAGCAAAGACAUGCUGUGAAAAUAAAAAUGCAGCUUGCGAAAAUAUCGGCACGGAUACACAAGAAACUACUCAUCCAUUUCCUAAAACUUGUCCUUUAAAUACGUGUCUCAUUGAUUGUCGCAAAUACAAUACAUUUCCAAAAAACGAUAAAAGAAAUGUACAGAAACCGUUACUACGUUCGAAUACAGAUACCGGCAAAAUGGAGAAAUCUUGCCAUGUCACAUUUACUCCAAUUAACAAUCAAGUCAUAAAAGAUGCAGAGGUUACGCCAAAUAUAGCACCGAUAUCUCAAAUGCAAUCAAAAUCUAUAUCUACAAUCAAUGUUGAAGAUAAAAUGCAAGAUAUUAGUUCAGAAAAAAACUCCUUAAAAUCAAUAGAUACAAAAAAGGGUAAAUCGAGUUCUGAAACAGGAGUACAGUUAAAAGAUUCUGUUAGUGACACUGAUAAUGAUACUAAAUCGUCCACCUCUAAAGAUCCUCUACUUGAUAUAAUACAAGAUAUAACGAGGCGUUAUUCUAAGAAAGAUAUUGAAAAGACUAAAAGAAAGAAAUGUUUUCGAGAAAUUAUCACAUUUCUAAAUUAUCUCUUAGAUACAGAAGAUAAUACAGAUCACGAAAGAAAUAAAACGUCAUCUUCAUCAGCCUGUGAAACUGUAUGUGAAUCCAAUGACAAGGUUUUGGCUAAAGACUCAUACAAAUCAUCUCCAAGGAAGACUUUUGUGGAUAAAGGUAUACAGUUAUCCACAGAGAAGGCGAAAAUUUACAAAACAUGUACAAAUUCUUCAGAUUCCCAGAUUAUUUCAACUGAAAUACCGAGUACAUCGUCCGAUUCGGCAACUUGUAAAAUAUUAAAUAAAAUAAAAAAGGAAUGCGAAAAAUAUCACCAAAAGCGUUGCAAAUCUCAUGGUAAAGAUAAAAAAUGCGAAGCUUCGAGCAGUACUUCUAUGAACUGCGACCAGUGUCGGCGAGUGCACCAUUGCUCGUGUAAAGUACAUAAAUGUAAAAACCACAAAGCUAGAAAAUCCAGUGAAAAAAAGAAAAAAUGUGUCGCCUACAACUUGAUCAUACAAACUUCGGACAGUGUUGUCAGUGAGGAGGUUGCUUGUGAUAGUAACCAUCAUAAGUUGCAAAAUAUUAUCGUCAAAGUACCGUCGAAACGGAAGGUCGGCAAUUUGCCGUUCAAAGAAGUGGCCACGAAAAUAGAAAAGGAUAUGCCCCAUUGCAGUCCGAGAUCUAAAAGUUACCGCUCAAGAAGUUUACCGAAUGACAGCGAGAUAUCUAGUACAGACGAAUUUCUUAGGAAAACUAAUGUCUACACUGUGAGGGAAUAUUUAGAACGAAAUCGUCCCGAUUUUGUAGAUAAGUGUUCAAAGCGGCAACAUUGCUUGAAGUUGAUCAACGAUACUAGACCAAGCGAAUGUGAUAAACCCCGGCUGAAUAUGAUAGUCGUUCACAAUCCGUCGUGUUUACCUAGUCCUUGUACGGAAGCUUGCAAUGUGUGUUACAAAGGUGUACCGAUAAAUAAUUGUAAUCCAUGUAUUGAUCCAUACAUGCAUUGCGUGCAAAACGAAGUAACAAGGAUUGGUGAGUCUAUCGAACAUGAUUUUUUACACGAGCAAAUGAACGCUCUGCCAAGCGGCAACUGCUGUCAUUGCAGUUGGACCGAGCACAGGCAUUGAGCGGUCUAAAUGAGUCUGAAUUGAAGAAUUUCGCCAGAGCACUAGGUCAUGAACUACGGCGAAAAAAAGUUGCACCAAAAUUUAUCAGUGAACGUGAAAUGAAGAAGCACUCUGAAAAAAUUUAUAAAUCACUACCAGAAGUUGUGCAUAAGAAAGAGGAAUUGAAAAAGGAGAACAUGAAAAAAACUAAUUUGCUGAUGGCAAAUAUUUUCAAGAAG